UUCUGCGAGAAUAAGGAGUUUGGAUGAGGGGACAAAUAAAACUGAAGAAAUCGCUCAAGUAACAAAAGGAAUAAAUGCAAUUAUAGGGAAUAGGUUUGUGAUUCUGCUCAUGUUGUUUUUAUUUUGGUUGAUAAAUAUGCCUGUACUUUAGCUUUGUGUGUGCAGGUGAAUUGGAAAUGAGUUCUAUGUCUUACAUCAGUGUGCUCAGAAGCUUCUGCUAUAGUCCAUGUUGGUGUUGUGCCUGGUACUGAAAUACUGCUAGAAGUGUCCUCUUCGGUGAUCUCAUUUGUAGAUGAAGAAAUUGCUGAUUUGGCUUCUGAUAUUGCAAGUUUAAACUGUAAAAUGGAAGUGCAGAGAUAAGAUUCUUGUAAGUUGCAAGGCAUGUGAAUGAACAUCAAAUUAAGAAAUACAAUGUAGGAAGGGCUGUGUGCAUUUCGUAUGUAAAAAAAGAUACUCAUCAUACUUAUGCCUUGGUGCGCCUUUGGUUUUUGCUCUUUUUAUUUUUUUUGGAUGUGUUGUAGCUGUGUAUAUGAAUAGUUUUGUUCGUAGUCAUAUGAAACAAUGGUGGAACAUAUAUAUAAUAGACUAUGGAAUGUAAAUAGGAAAUAUUUAUUUAUUUGUUUGCUAGCAAGCACCUAACAGAAGCAUACAAGGACAUUAUCUAAUCGGGCCUGUGCUGAAUAUUUUCAAGAUGCAACUAUAUAUUAUUAGCAAGAGAGUAUUUGUGGAACAAUUGUUUUUAUUUACUUCAAAUCGAGCCAUGUAGGCAUUUCCUUGUCCCUUGUCAUUGCAUCGUCAUGAUCAUUUGAAUGCCUUUAUUUGCACCAACACAUAUAAAAAAAGAAGGUAUGUAAGAAUUGUGUUGAUUGGCAACAUACCUUGUAUAUGUACUUGAGUGGACUAAAUUCUUGAAGAUGAGCCACGCAACCUGCACAAACCAAAUCAAUCAAUCAAGGUGUAAAUUAAUGGAAAAGCUGCAUAUAGCUAUACAAAAUUUAGAGUACAUAGCUCAUAGAUUAGUGGAGGUAGCAGAAUAAAAAUUGCAAGAAGUAACAGAUCCAUUAAAUAAAAUGCGAAAAGAAAGCAAUAGUUUUUGUCAGGUAAAGAAACCGAAUAUGUAUUUCCUAUACUCUUUUAUAUAUUAAAUAAUACAUCGAAAUCUAUUAAACCAAAAAGUAAAACACAGUAGCGUUAAUCAUGGCAGAAACCAAGAAGUAAUGACAUGGUAAUAGAAUAAAAAAAGUUCUCCUAAAAAAAAGAUUCUUCUCCUCGCUUAAGGUGAGAGUGAGAUGUUGUAAAACCUGAACACCACAAGAGUAGCUUCAUAACUGCCAGCUUGCAAUCAGUUUUUUUUUGUGGUACACUAUACACAUCCGAAAACACUACUCGUAUCUUACUGCAUUAGGGAGGUAUAUAUAUCAUGCUAAGUGGUGGGGAAACAAAGAAAGGAAGAAAAAAAAGAGCAGGAAUUAAAUACAUAAGAACUUUUAGCAUCAACACAGUGGUGUCAUUACACAGAAAGCACAAUAGUUCGAUUGUAAGCAGCCACCACACAAGGUAGUAGUACACCAUCAUAGGAAAAUGAUUUCGUGCAGAGCUUUAUCUCAAAGAGCUUUCUAAAUUAAUUGGAAAGUAAUCAAGAAUAUCUAUGUCAAAAUUAGAAGAUGGUAAUUGAAAUUUUAUUUCCUUGCAAUAUAAAAAGGAAAAUGUCAAGUGGUUGAGUAUUCACAUGCAGUUAUGUAAGAGCUUUUAGUAGAGAUAAAUAAAAAAUGUGAAAUGGUUGAGUAUUCUUCUGCAGAUGUAAGAGCGUUUAGCAGGAGCAAGAACCAUAAUGAUUGUCUUGUUGAUCUCACCUGUGAGGGUGUGGCAAACCAUCCUUAGCUACAUCUGAUGGUGGUGAUCCUGGCCAGAAAAUCCAUAAUAGUAUGUUUAGAAGUAUUGUUACAUUAGACUACACCAUAAUCGCAAAGGCUAGAGGAUAAAGAAUCAAAUUUGUAGUUUGCUCUGAAUUUGACAUAAGAAAGGCAUAUAUGCAUGUCCAAGGUACUUUUAGCUUUUUAAAUUUAGUGCUUGAAAAAAUAAGAUUCGUAUCCGCGGUAGAAUUAUUACCUUAGGCAAUGCAAAUCGCCUUAAUGUGUCUUCUUGUUUUCGUCAAGUAGGACUCCUUGUCAGUCACUUUUAUUCAGAUUUAUGCAGAAAUCAGAACAUGAUUAAUAAAGGCCAAAGGAUAAAGAAUCAUUGCCUAUUUGUAAAUGCAGAUAUGUAAGUAUGCUGAACUUAACAUAAAACCGGUGUAGGAACAUGUCCAAGGUAUUUUAGCUUGUUAAAUUUAUUGCU